UAAGGUUAACAGCUCGGCUGGGAAUUGUUUAGCUGUAGCCCGUCCUUGAUCCACCAGCAGGCUGGGUCAAGUUCUCCACCCCACCCACCACCCAUACUUUCCUCCCGUGCCUCUUACCGACUCUCUUUCACUCGGAUUCGGCGAUCUUCCUCGAUUACUUGCUCGCGUCUACCCUGCUAAAUCCACUCUGCCCCCUUGCUCUCUCUGAUCUUUUGAUGUGUCGAUUUAACUUUCGGUGGAAAGAACUGAUCAAUCUCUUCUUUUUUUUUUUUUUUUUUUGUCGAGUAUGGUGGGAAGAACGCAAUCGACACAUUGGUCUGCGACAUUGCCAGAGGUACCUCACGUCACCGAAGGCAAAACUCACGGUCUCAAAGGAUUCAUUCAACCAUCAGGGCUGCAGAAUUGGAGUUACUGAUUUUAUAAUUUCAGCAGGAUAGAUGAUCAUAUCUUGAUUCAGAAAUUAAUAUUAUGGUUAAGAAAGUCAGAAACUCUCGCACCC